UCAGCGGUAGCUCAGCUUAAGAGCACCGGCUUUGUAACCCGGAGGCCGGCGGUUUAAAUCCGCCCCGCUGAA
rnacentral:tRNA from 1 species